CUAGCAUGCUCUUCCUCAGCUCAUGGACCCGUGAAGACCAUUGCCACCUGCUUGCUGAAGCAGAGCUGGGUGCGCACAUCUGAAAGAUGUCUGCAAGCCUACAGGCAGACGGCCUAGGAAGAAACCCGGCUGUUGAGAAGAAAGUGAAAGCCCCUUCCACAUAUCUUUUUGAACAUUGUGAACAAGCAUUACAUGAAUCACCCCAAAUUUAUCAGCUCUGGCCUAUCAUCAAAGAAGAAGAAAGAUGUUUAAUGGGGUGGUGAAUCUUUGCAUCCAUCAAGGAAAAAUCCAGUGGCCUCCCUGUUUCCAUGUGACAGUGAAAGACAGUGACAUAGAGGCGCAGAAUGACCGUCCCAUCAUCAGAGAAGACAUUGUGAUGAAAGAUGAAGUUGGUAGGACUUCUGAGCCUGGCAUUGUCUCAUCUGCCAAUCAUUCAUCAGAAUCAUCUGAUUCACCAAUGAUUCAUCAGAAUCAUCUGCCAGCCUUUGGGCACUCUUCGUGUGAGUGCUGCAUGUAUCAAACUCUAAGUGGGUUCUUCUUUAAUAAAAUCCAACAUGCAGAAAUCUAAAUGGACCACAAAGACAGAUUAGAGUAUGUCCAUUCACCUUACAAA
rnacentral:lncRNA from 1 species